rnacentral:rRNA from 1 species
UACGUAGGGGCCAAGCGUUGUCCGGAUUUAUUGGGCGUAAAGAGCUCGUAGGCGGUUCGGCAAGUCAGCUGUGAAAUCUCCACGCUCAACGUGGAGGGGGUCAGCUGAUACUGCUGUGACUCGAGUCCGGUAGGGGAGUGUGGAAUUCCCGGUGUAGCGGUGAAAUGCGUAGAGAUCGGGAGGAACACCGGCGGCGAAGGCGGCUGCCUGGACCGGUUCUGACGCUGAUGCGCGAAAGCGUGGGUAGCAAACAGG